rnacentral:rRNA from 1 species
CAUGCAAGUCGAGCGGCAGCACGGGUACUUGUACCUGGUGGCGAGCGGCGGACGGGUGAGUAAUGCCUAGGAAUCUGCCUGGUAGUGGGGGAUAACGCUCGGAAACGGACGCUAAUACCGCAUACGUCCUACGGGAGAAAGCAGGGGACCUUCGGGCCUUGCGCUAUCAGAUGAGCCUAGGUCGGAUUAGCUAGUUGGUGAGGUAAUGGCUCACCAAGGCGACGAUCCGUAACUGGUCUGAGAGGAUGAUCAGUCACACUGGAACUGAGACACGGUCCAGACUCCUACGGGAGGCAGCAGUGGGGAAUAUUGGACAAUGGGCGAAAGCCUGAUCCAGCCAUGCCGCGUGUGUGAAGAAGGUCUUCGGAUUGUAAAUCA